GAAGCCAGAGGCCAUAUAGCCAUCAAACAAAACAGUCCUUCACAGCAAUCCCAUAUAGGCAGCCGCACACUGACUGGUAAAUAUGUAUCUUUCCCACACAGUAGUAGCAUUUUUAGUCUCUCUAUCCC